rnacentral:rRNA from 1 species
UACGUAGGGUCCGAGCGUUGUCCGGAAUUACUGGGCGUAAAGAGCUCGUAGGUGGUUUGUCGCGUUGUUCGUGAAAACUCACAGCUCAACUGUGGGCGUGCGGGCGAUACGGGCAGACUAGAGUACUGCAGGGGAGACUGGAAUUCCUGGUGUAGCGGUGGAAUGCGCAGAUAUCAGGAGGAACACCGGUGGCGAAGGCGGGUCUCUGGGCAGUAACUGACGCUGAGGAGCGAAAGCGUGGGGAGCGAACAGGA